UACGGAGGGUGCAAGCGUUAUCCGGAUUCACUGGGUUUAAAGGGUGCGUAGGUGGGCAGGUAAGUCAGUGGUGAAAUCUUUGGGCUUAACCCGAAAACUGCCAUUGAUACUAUUUGUCUUGAAUAUUGUGGAGGUAAGCGGAAUAUGUCAUGUAGCGGUGAAAUGCUUAGAUAUGACAUAGAACACCAAUUGCGAAGGCAGCUUACUACACAACGAUUGACGCUGAGGCACGAAAGCGUGGGGAUCAAACAGG
rnacentral:rRNA from 1 species